GCAUUCCUGUUGAAGGCAACAGUUUUAAGAAAGCUAUGUGCAUAACUGCCAGGUCAUUCUUAGCUACAGUAUAAGUGUGUGUGAAGAAGAAGGAUAACAACAGCAAGGCAAAGGGUUUGGCUACUUCACCAAAAGAGCAAUGACUAACCAAGAAUGGAUUAGGAUUUUUCAAUCAAAGGUCAAUAAUCUGAAGAGGAAUAAGAGAGACCGCUGGCGUAUCGAGUUUGAUGAUUCCAUUAAGGCAGACAAUGUGCAAUUUGGCUGGCAUCAGUACAUCAGUGGGGCAUUUGGAAGGUUCAAGUGCUCCAAGUGUAACAGAAGUUGGUCCUCUGGCCGGGUGAAUGUGGUGUUUCACAUGCAUCUAUCGUCAGGGCAGGGAAUGGUGAAAGUGCGAUGUUUGCGUCAGGAAUGCAGGCAAUGUGACGGCGCUCUUAUGGAGGAGGCCAGUUUCGAUGAGGAGAAACUCGAAGUCCUACUGGAGAAACUGAUGGAGAAGAUUCGUGUCAAGUGCUACCGCGAGAACCUGGGCAAGAGAAACAGACGUGAUUUCGAUGACGAAGACGAUGAAGGUCCCCCCCAUGAGAGUGCCCAUUGCGAAGCCUGCAGUAUGGGCCUUUGCACAAAGCGUUUUAAAGCCUGGUAGAAUAUGGUAGAAAUAGACUGGUAUACGCCCUAAUACACUUUUUAUAAUAUUUCUCUUUGUUUACUUGUCUAUAUCUAGUGGUCAUUGGGUACAUCCUAAUGUCUGAUUUCUAAAGCUAUUUGUUGAUUAAAUAAAUGCAGUGAGACACUGGUGGAACUGGUCGAAGAUAGGUGUGGCUGCACAGGGCACAACGAAAGUGGAAUAAGAGUCUCAGCAACGUGAGAUUAGAGAGGUAGAGAAGGUUCCUCAGCUAUGUGGGGUUAGAGAAGUAGAGAAGGUUCCUCAGCUAUGUGGGGUUAGAGAGGUAGAGAAGGUUCCUCAGCUAUGUGGGGUUAGAGAAGUAGAGAAGGUUCCUCAGCUGUGUGGGGUUAGAGAGGUAGAGAAGGUUCCUCAGCUAUGUGGGGUUAGAGAAGUAGAGAAGGUUCCUCAGCUAUGUGGGGUUAGAGAAGUAGAGAAGGUUCCUCAGCUAUGUGGGGUUAGAGAGGUAGAGAAGGUUCCUCAGCUAUGUGGGGUUAGAGAAGUAGAGAAGGUUCCUCAGCUAUGUGGGGUUAGAGAAGUAGAGAAGGUUCCUCAGCUAUGUGGGGUUAGAGAGGUAGAGAAGGUUCCUCAGCUAUGUGGGGUUAGAGAAGUAGAGAAGGUUCCUCAGCUGUGUGGGGUUAGAGAGGUAGAGAAGGUUCCUCAGCUAUGUGGGGUUAGAGAAGUAGAGAAGGUUCCUCAGCUAUGUGGGGUUAGAGAAGUAGAGAAGGUUCCUCAGCUAUGUGGGGUUAGAGAGGUAGAGAAGAUUCCUCAGCUAUGUGGGGUUAGAGAAGUAGAGAAGGUUCCUCAGCUAUGUGGGGUUAGAGAAGUAGAGAAGGUUCCUCAGCUAUGUGGGGUUAGAGAGGUAGAGAAGGUUCCUCAGCUAUGUGGGGUUAGAGAUGUAGAGAAGGUUCCUCAGCUAUGUGGGGUUAGAGAAGUAGAGAAGGUUCCUCAGCUAUGUGGGGUUAGAGAGGUAGAGAAGGUUCCUCAGCUAUGUGGGGUUAGAGAAGUAGAGAAGGUUCCUCAGCUAUGUGGGGUUAGAGAAGUAGAGAAGGUUCCUCAGCUAUGUGGAGUUAGAGAAGUAGAGAAGGUUCCUCAGCUAUGUGGGGUUAGAGAGGUAGAGAAGGUUCCUCAGCUAUGUGGGGUUAGAGAAGUAGAGAAGGUUACUCAGCUAUGUGGGGUUAGAGAGGUAGAGAAGGUUCCUCUACUUGUGAUUCCUUUGAAGAGGAAAUGGAUUUCCUUUAUUUUGCAGCUGUUCCAGUGUGUGUACAAACAAAGUGUCACGUCCUCACCUUAGUUCCUUUUGUAUGUCUCUAUUUUGGUUUGGUCAGGGCGUGAGUUGGGGUGGGCAUUCUAUAUUUUGUGUUCUAUGUUUUCUAUUUCUAUGUGUUUGACCUGGUAUGGUUCCCAAUCAGAGGCAGCUGUCAAUCAUUGUCUCUGAUUGAGAACCAUACUUAGGUAGCCUUUUCCCACCUGUGUUUUGUGGGUAAUUAUUUUUCUGUGUUUGUGUUGGUGUGCACCUCGGUUGUGUCACAGUCUUUUUCUUCUUGUUUUCUGUUUACCUGUUUGUUUCUUGGUUGUUUCGGUUUCACUUUCAUUAAAAGACGUGGAACUACA